GUGGGGAAUCUUGCGCAAUGGGCGAAAGCCUGACGCAGCCAUGCCGCGUGAAUGAUGAAGGUCUUAGGAUUGUAAAAUUCUUUCACCGGGGACGAUAAUGACGGUACCCGGAGAAGAAGCCCCGGCUAACUUCGUGCCAGCAGCCGCGGUAAUACGAAGGGGGCUAGCGUUGCUCGGAAUUACUGGGCGUAAAGGGCGCGUAGGCGGACAGUUUAGUCAGAGGUGAAAGCCCAGGGCUCAACCUUGGAAUUGCCUUUGAUACUGGCUGUCUUGAGUACGGGAGAGGUGAGUGGAAAUCCGAGUGUAGAGGUGAAAUUCGUAGAUAUUCGGAAGAACACCAGUGGCGAAGGCGACUCACUGGCCCGUUACUGACGCUGAGGCGCGAAAGCGUGGGGAGCAAACAGGAUUAGAAACCCCGGUAGUCC
rnacentral:rRNA from 1 species